rnacentral:rRNA from 1 species
UCUAGUGGCGGACGGGUGAGUAACACGUGGGAACGUGCCUUUAGGUUCGGAAUAACUCAGGGAAACUUGUGCUAAUACCGAAUGUGCCCUUCGGGGGAAAGAUUUAUCGCCUUUAGAGCGGCCCGCGUCUGAUUAGCUAGUUGGUGAGGUAAUGGCUCACCAAGGCUACGAUCAGUAGCUGGUCUGAGAGGAUGACCAGCCACAUUGGGACUGAGACACGGCCCAAACUCCUACGGGAGGCAGCAGUGGGGAAUCUUGCGCAAUGGGCGAAAGCCUGACGCAGCCAUGCCGCGUGGAUGAUGAAGGUCUUAGGAUUGUAAAAUUCUUUCACCGGGGACGAUAAUGACGGUACCCGGAGAAGAAGCCCCGGCUAACUUCGUGCCAGCAGCCGCGGUAAUACGAAGGGGGCUAGCGUUGCUCGGAAUUACUGGGCGUAAAGGGCGCGUAGGCGGACAUUUAAGUCAGGGGUGAAAUCCCAGAGCUCAACUCUGGAACUGCCUUUGAUACUGGGUGUCUUGAGUGUGAGAGAGGUAUGUGGAACUCCGAGUGUAGAGGUGAAAUUCGUAGAUAUUCGGAAGAACACCAGUGGCGAAGGCGACAUACUGGCUCAUUACU